AGCAGCAGCCGCGGGAAUACGUAGGGUGCGAGCGUUAAUCGGAAUUACUGGGCGUAAAGCGUGCGCAGGCGGUUUUGUAAGACAGAGGUGAAAUCCCCGGGCUCAACCUGGGAACUGCCUUUGUGACUGCAAGGCUAGAGUACGGCAGAGGGGGAUGGAAUUCCGCGUGUAGCAGUGAAAUGCGUAGAUAUGCGGAGGAACACCGAUGGCGAAGGCAAUCCCCUGGGCCUGUACUGACGCUCAUGCACGAAAGCGUGGGGAGCAAACAGGAUUAGAUACCCCUGUAGUCCCGUCUCUUAUACA
rnacentral:rRNA from 1 species